UAGACGGGACGGCGGUGAUGGCAGCUCUUCCCUCUGACCUCCAUUGCAUCUCUCUCUCGACGCCUCUCCCUCAUCCCUGUUCAACCGGCACCAGGGCGGACUCCACGGAACGGUGGCGACAAGCGGGCAAGGUGCAGUGGCGGCGAUUCCAGGCCGGCAGUAGCACGCGACGAAGGAGGCGGCGGUGAGGCAGCAGACUCGACCGGUUGGAUGACGGCGCGGUGAAGCUCCCUCUCUUUCCCCCAGCUCGACGGCGACGGCAGCGAGGCCCAG
rnacentral:lncRNA from 1 species